AUCUUAUUAGUUUAUAAAAAAUAUUAAUUUGUGGUAUUAAAGAAAAAAUUUUUAUAAGAUU
rnacentral:tRNA from 1 species